GACGAACGCUGGCGGCGUGCUUAACACAUGCAAGUCGAACGGAAAGGCCCUGCUUUUGUGGGGUGCUCGAGUGGCGAACGGGUGAGUAACACGUGAGUAACCUGCCCUUGACUUUGGGAUAACUUCAGGAAACUGGGGCUAAUACCGGAUAGGAGCUCCUGCUGCAUGGUGGGGGUUGGAAAGUUUCGGCGGUUGGGGAUGGACUCGCGGCUUAUCAGCUUGUUGGUGGGGUAGUGGCUUACCAAGGCUUUGACGGGUAGCCGGCCUGAGAGGGUGACCGGCGACAUUGGGACUGAGGUACGGCCCAGACUGCUACGGGAGGCAGCAGUGGGAAAUAUGGCACAAUGGGCGGAAGCGUGAUGCAGCAACGCCGCGUGCGGGAUGACGGCCUUCGGGUUGUAAACAGCUUUCGCCUGUGACGAAGCGUGAGUGACGGUAAUGGGUAAAGAAGCACCGGCUAACUACGUG
rnacentral:rRNA from 1 species